AUCACUUCUCGGCCUUCUGGCUAAGAUCAAGUGUAGUAUAGCUAAAAUGUAAUAAUAAACUUAAUGGAAAAAAAACUACCUUCA
rnacentral:snRNA from 1 species